rnacentral:lncRNA from 1 species
UGCGAUCCUCAUUCUCUCUUCAGGAAUGGCAUCUCCAGGCUGCCUUUCCUAUCACCAGCAAGGCCAGUCAUCAUUUUCUCCAACUGUCUUUGAGCUGUGUAAAAGCCCCAGUGCAGCACUGUCCUGACUGAAUAUAAAACAUUCUUCCAAACGGUUUGUGUGUUGAAGGCGUGGUCUCCAGAUGUAGUGUUGCCGCAUCACCGGGAUUGGACCCGGUGCAGUUCCUGUGAACUCCUGAAUGGGAUCCUGUGAUGUCACAAGAGAUCUUUCUUUCAGAUCAGGUGGCUACAUUUUAAGCCUCAGAAUGAACAGAAGUUCCCACCAAUACCAGCGUGUAGCGAAUUCUGCAUUCUGUACAUUUUCUCUGAACUUUAGAAAGAUUCUUACUUUUUGUAGACUUCAGAAGAAUUUGUCAGCAUAUCCUCUCAUAACAUUCUCCCUAUAAUACCAGAUUCUUACACGAGAAGGAGAAAUAUAACACUGUGAGGCUAAGCCAUAUGUGCCUUAAUCUUGACAUUCCAUGGCAAAGCAACUUGAUAAAAUCUGACUAGAAAUCACUGAAAUUUUUCUUAAAGACAUGAGAAUAUGUAUGAUUUGAAGAGAACAAAGAAUGGCCAUCAUAAAUAGGCUUUGUUGUUAUUAUUGUUUUGCUGUUUUGUUGUUUUUUUUUAAAUGAACCAUGAGGUUAGGGAGUUGGAUCAUCAGUCAAAAGUGUUUGCUGCUCCCUGGCUUUCAGAACCUGGUACCCACAUCAAGUUCAUCAAGUUGUUCACAACUGCCUGUAACGCCUGCACAGGGCAAUCUGAUGUCGUCUUACUGCCUCCCCAGGCACCUGCACCAGUAUGCACGUACACACAGACAGACACACCAGUAUGCAUGUACGCACAGACAGACACAAGCACAUACAUGUCAGGGAACAUAAAAGACAAGGUUUUUUAAUACCCCCCAAAAGUAUGCAUUGAAGUAGAUGUAUUUCAUUAAGUACUUAUUUGUUUAUAAAUUACUCACCCAAAUUUAAUAGUCACUCUUAUUGCAUUUCCUCAAAUUCACUUUAAAAUUUCAGAAGUGAGGUACAGUAACAAAGGCCCAUCCUUAUUAAUGAUAGGGAUUCUAGGAGCAACUGUCUUGGCACCAUUUCAUGAAAACUUGUUUGUAAGCACUUAAGUAAUCUUAGCCAGAUGUGUAGACGGGGGCAGACCUGAGGGACUGCAUUUUGACUGAUUCAGAGAUAUGCUGUGGUCUCUCAUCCAGUCGACGCUUUCUGUGUCAGAGCACUUAAGCUAGAUUAUGCAGGCAGCCAGGAAGUUACAGGAAACUUUCUGUGGUUCUACCUAGAGCUAGAACAAAGUCAUUUGCUCUGGGAUGUUUACUCUUCAUCUAUAAACUAAAACCAUUAUUUAAAAACCAGAUUUUAGUGAGGUUAGGCUACCAUUAAGACCACGAAAACCCUUUAUAAAUAUGAGUGCUUUGUAGCUCUGAUUCUUAAGAGGACAUUAUUAAAAUGGUGGCCUGUACUCUUAUGGAAUCCUAUUGUUUAAAUAAGAAAGAAUUCACAACAUUAAGAUUGGCUGAAACAUUAAAUUAGUGUAUAUGACAUUUAUAAGCAUGAAUCAAAUGCAGCAUCUAUCCUAUUAUAGUAGGAAUAGGUGACCCAGGCCUAGAGGCAGGGACGUGGAGAAAAUGUCUUCUGGACAAGCUUGGAAAUAACUUUCAAAAGAGGCACACACAGUUCUAUCUUCCUUUUUUACUCCCUAAGUAAUUGAGGAAACACAAAUAUGUGUAUGUGUGUGAUGUGUGUGUGUGUGUACGCUCGUGCAUGCACACCAGUUAAGUAUGCUUUUGUUUAUAUUUUUUCCACUGGAAAGAACAUUAAUGGAGGACAAGAAAGAAAGUGUAAUAAAUCAUUUAGGGAGAAUCUAAAGGCGUGAGAAAUAACCUCUGUCAGGAGAGUAUAAUAUUGAAAACAAGGAAGAAGGUAAAUUUUGUUGCUGCAGAAAUGAGGAAUAAAUCAAUACGAAGCCAAGUAGAUGCCAAAUUAAAGGAAAGAGGAGAGACAGAAACAUUUUUGGGACUUGUCAAAACAACUCGUUAUUGUUCUGUGCCAAGGUCUUCAGAGUCAGUACAUUUAUUUAUAUUUAUUUAUAUUUGGUCACCAGACCACUGUAACUACUUAGUAUCAGCCUUCACCUCUCCCCAAAGACAAGCAUCGCUGACCUGAUAUUCUGAAUUCUGCAUCAGCUGCCAUGCUUGGUCACUUGAAUGCUUUACCUGAACACUGGUACAAGUGUACCUUCAGGCUCACAGUAGAGUCCUUUAUUCCCAUUUAGGAUAUUUAAAGCAAGGCAUAAUCACUGUGUUCAGCGUUAUACACUUGUAAUCUCAACCCUCGUGAGACUAAGGCAGGAGGAUUAUGAAUUUCAUGACUGCUUGGGCUAUUGUGGGGGUGGGGAGAAGGCAAGGGCAGGACAGGGCAAAGAGAGAGCAAGACAGAGAGACAGAGACAGAGAGGCAGAGACAGAGAGAGAAGGAAGGGCUACCUGCACACUAGCCUCUAGCAGUGUUCAGAAUUCGUUCAUUCAUGCCUCCCAUAAUUUAGUAGCAUCGCCUAGAAAUUUCUGGAACGGUCUAGUGAUAAUCAACUGCCUCCUCCACAAGAUCACAGUGUAAUAUGACAUCAAAUUAUCACAAUUUAAAUAUGCUACCAUUUAGAUUUCUACUUGUCAUUCCAUGAACGACAGACAUUGAAAAACCCCUUAGCAACACAGAACCUUAGCUGCAGAUGAGAAACUAAGUAAGACCCCCUUUAUAGUUUACAGAUGAAAGAACUUUGUGGGACACCAUUUCUACCAGGCCAAGGUCACAUAUUAGUUAUAAAGAGGAAGAAUAAAACUUGUUUCUACUGACUCCCAGCAUUCUUUUCUUCCACAUAGUACAAAACACUGUGGUUUGUUCUAAUGGUCCUCAGCCUUUCCAAUACUGCAGCCCUUUAACACAGUUCCUCAAGUUAUGGUGACCUCCAACCAUAACAUUAUUUUGUUGCUACUUUAUAGCUGUAAUUUUGCUACUGUUAUGAAUCUUAAUGUAAAUAUCUGAUGUCCAGGUUAUCUGAUAUGAAAUCCUUAUGGAGGUCAUGUCCCACAGGUUGAGACUCCUGGUUUAUACAUUCUCAUGUUUUAAAAAGCUUGCAUAAUUUUCUGUAACUGAGUCUUUGCUUUAUCACUUCAAACUUGAUUAAAAAAUUUAUUUUUAUGACACUGGCUUGAAGGUUUUUUUUUUUCCAAGUACUGAGAAACAUCAUGCACAAAGACACUGUGCAGCAUACUUAACAUCAGCCAUACUUGCUGGCAGGGGAAUCAAGAGUGGGGAAAAAAAAGAGCUACACACACAAACUGGCCUGAGAACAAAUCUCCAGCUUGCUUUACAUGAGAAGUCUACUAAAGAUGAGAAAAUGCUAUCCCUCUAGACCAGUGUUAAGUAGGCAAGUUUCUGUUGUUGUUGCCUUGUGAUAUACCAAUUCUGCAUC